rnacentral:rRNA from 1 species
AUUGAACGCUGGCGGCAUGCCUUACACAUGCAAGUCGAACGGUAGAGUAGCAAUACUUGAGAGUGGCGAACGGGUGAGUAAUAUAUCGGAACGUGCCCAGUCGUGGGGGAUAACGUAGAGAAAUUUACGCUAAUACCGCAUACGAUCUAAGGAUGAAAGCGGGGGAUUCGCAAGAACCUCGCGCGAUUGGAGCGGCUGAUAUCAGAUUAGGUUGUUGGUGAGGUAAAAGCUCACCAAGCCGACGAUCUGUAGCUGGUUUGAGAGAACGACCAGCCACACUGGGACUGAGACACGGCCCAGACUCCUACGGGAGGCAGCAGUGGGGAAUUUUGGACAAUGGGCGCAAGCCUGAUCCAGCAAUGCCGCGUGCAGGAUGAAGGCCUCGGUU